rnacentral:sRNA from 12 species
GCACUGGAUGGAAGGUUGUUCCGCUGUGAUCCAAUUGUCGGACAUCGAAGGAGAGCGACGCUCAGAUGUCUGGUACAGUGC